rnacentral:rRNA from 1 species
UCCUACGGGAGGCAGCAGUGAGGAAUAUUGGGCAAUGGAGGAAACUCUGACCCAGCCAUGCCGCGUGAGUGAAGAAGGUUUUCGAAUUGUAAAGCUCUUUCGGAUGUGAAGAUGAUGACGGUAACAUCUAAAGAAGCCCCGGCAAACUUCGUGCCAGCAGCCGCGGUAAUACGAAGGGGGCAAGCGUUGUUCGGAAUUACUGGGCGUAAAGGGUGUGUAGGCGGGCAAGGAAGAUAGUGGUGAAAUGCCUGAGCUCAACUUGGGAACUGCCAUUAUAACUAUUUUUCUAGAGGGACAGAGAGGAU